rnacentral:lncRNA from 1 species
CCGGUUGAAGACAUUCCACCAACGAGAGCACCGGUCGUGGACAUUCCCCCUACACUACCACCAGUUGAAGACAUUCCACCAACGAGAGCACCGGUCGUGGACAUUCCCCCUACACUACCACCAGUUGAAGAUAUUCCACCAAAGCGUGCACCAGUGUCAUCACCACCACCACCUGUGAGUCGUGUCAUUCCCCCUGGACUUUUCAAAUCACCACCACCACCAGUUUACUCUCCUCCACCACCUGUCCACUCACCUCCUCCACCAGUCUACUCUCCACCACCACCACCACCUGUUCACUCACC